rnacentral:lncRNA from 1 species
UCUAUGUAAGAAAACAAAUUUUACAUUAAAAUUAUCUAAAACAAUCAUCCCUUUCCUAAUAACCCUGCAAAAUAGAGAUAACAUACCCUAAUAUCUAAAACAAUCUCUGGCUAAUACAAGUUGUGUUGGACGGUUUAAUAUUCGCCAAGGCUUUGGUGUGCAUGCAUUUGAGAUCCUAGGCAUAAUUGAAAUGAUUAAAAAUCAAAACUUUAGCCCCACAAGGUGUGUUAGAAAUCACACUUAAGAUUUGAAUGUUCCCAAAUCCAAAUCCGAUCCUUUUCCAUAAAAGAUGUCUCGAAACCUUGAGAUUGUGAUCUUCCAUUUGAUGGCCCCUUCUUUGAUCAAUGGUACUUAUAAAGAAUGACUGGACGCUUUUUGAGAAAGAAGAGAUUUUGUUUCAUUUUUAGGACAACACACAAUAUCGAUAAGGGCAGGCUACAUCUUUCAGAAUGGAAGACUCACGCACCACAGCGUAAAGAGGAAUCUCCACAUGAGCCACAUCAUUGAGAAUUUGGGGAGGCAGCCGCAGCAUUCAGAAUUUGGGAGCAGUAGCCAGCAAAGAUGGAAAGACGGCCACGCCAUUGCUCUCCAAUAGUAGGCCACACCAUUAGUAGAAUGAAGGGCACGCAUACACCAAGGAGAAAAGGCACUAGAAUUUUAAAAUGGGUAUCGUCUUUCAAAGCAACAUGCAGCAAGCAACUUUAGGGAGAAGGACCACGCACAGUCCAUUGUGACAACCCACACGCACAGGAAAUCUCCACACCGGCAGUACGCAAUUGGAAAGGAGAUUUCUUUUCUCAACAAGCAACACGCACCACACAGCCUCCAUAGGAUUUCAAGAACACGACUUGCACCUUUGGGACGCACCAAGGAUUCUUUCUCCAGGCACGAUGGAGUAGUUUUGAAGAACAUAAC